rnacentral:misc_RNA from 1 species
CAUGUGGAUACGUCGCCGCGUACGAGCAGCGCCCUUCCCCAUCUCCCCUCUACUGAUGAGAAGGGGCUGUCACAUUUGAAAGAAGCGACGAACCUCUUUCAACGAACGUCCCCUUUUUCCACAACAGACGUGCAUCUUCACCCGCCAACGGACACUCGCGCAGUGAUACGUGAGGCGCCAGUAAAGGAACGGAGCCAGAAGUCACUCUUCGGGCACAGCCCCCACCCCUGCUGCUUCGCUUCGCUACGCCUCCCCACUCCGAAAAAAAAGCGGCUGCGCCCCUACACACGGGAAAGCCGUGCGCAGUCCUCUCUUCGCUCUUCUUCCAACCAGACCCUCUGAGGAGACACCGACACACACAAACACACACACACACACGCACACACACACACACACACACACACAGGGGGAGCGUGCCGUGACGAUGAAGACCAUUCGCACGAUCGGCUUCACCGGCACUAUCGCAAGUGGCAAGACUUCCCGCUGCAAGCACCUUCUGAAGGUGGCGGAGAGCUGGCAGCAGUCCAUUGCUGCUGCCAAAGGUUCAGGGAAGAAUAACGCGACUCCCUCAGCAGCCCUCGGCAGUGAUAGAACGAUGCGCCCGCAAGCUAUCCCGUCUUCUUCGGCGCUGGCGGUUCACUACAUCAAUGCAGACCUUGUCGGUCACCACAUCUACGAGCCUGGCAAGCCAUGCUACUACGAUUUGCUGCAGCACUUCGGCACCGCUAUCCUGACCGCGCCGGCUCCGACUAAAGCAGCGAGUCAACAGACAGGGCCCCCGACCCAACGAAUACAGGAGGGGGCCGGUCGAGGUUUUAGCGCCGCGGGGUCAGGAAAGGCGGAGCCAUUUAUUGAUCGUCGUGUGCUGGGCCAAAUCGUGUUUGCUGAGGAGCGCAAGCUGCAAGAGCUGAACUCGAUCUGCUGGCCGUACAUCACCGCCGCCAUCAAAGACGAGCACGCCAAGGUGUAUGCGAGUCUUAAAGCAGCAUAUCCGCCCCUCAUGGGGUCGGCUGAGACCUUGUCCUCUGCCAUACAGACGCCGACGAUUGUUUCGCCGCCGUCCCCGUCACCUUCGACGUCGCCUGAUGCCGCCCUCUUGGCAGCACCGGCCGUCGGGUUGGUCAUUGUGGAGGCGGCUUUGCUCUGUGAGAUGACGGAGGUACUGGAACUGACUACCGACCUCUGGAUGACGCACUGCACCUCUGCAACGGCGGUGGAUCGCGUUAUGAUGCGCAACCAAAUCAGCCGUGAAGACGCCGAGCGACGAGUGGCCAGCCAGCUCGAUGUGGAGCGGAAGCUGCUCAAACUGCGCCACCUGCCUUAUAAGGGUGACAUCGAAGUCUUCGACACGACGCAGGUGAGCCUGGAGGAGGGACUCAAAGAAACGGAGGCUGCCUUCGAGCGAUACUGGAGGAAGAAGAUCGCAGUUCACCUAUAACAGGUGUGCCGAAAUGAAAGUGCUUCCUUCGCGAAGGCGUUUUACUGGAUUUGCCGACGGACACAGCGGUAAAGUGCUUUUCCUGCACAGUCGCCCUUCCAGCCGUGACCCAUGGACGGCGUCUUUCUCUCUCUGCCUUCUCUCCUCAUGCAUCUCUGUGCCAUCGUGAACACAUCUAAAGCAUUUACUGUUCGGUACGCACACGCCGAUACACAUACAGGCGCCACGAGUGCUGCUAUGGGCGCGGCACCACCACCUGCGCCCCCCCUCUCUUUACCUGCUUUUUGGCGAUGCCGGCGCUAUCGAUUCUUCACACUCUCAUUUUGUUUUUUCUAAUGUGUUGGCGAUGUGGUUUCCGUCAGCGUUGCUUGCGUGCGUGCGUCCUACUUUCCCUUCACGCGACGAUGAUGAUGACGUUCUCUUUGCGCAUCUCAACUCUUCUUGUGCGUCAUGGUUCCCUCAUGUUCCCUUUUCUUUUUCUCCCCGUCCAAAUGCUGCUACAGGUUGGCGUGCCUACGACACGUGACUGCAGAGGCGGUCUGUGCGUAGGGUGGGUUGAUGGUGUACUGGUGGUCGCGAGCAGGCGUGCAUAUUCUCUCUGUCGCCUGCUUUCUUUUUUUUUGUUGUUGAUGCCCCCCCCUCCCUUUCCGCUGCUGUUGUUAGCAAUUCUCCACCUGACGCGGACGUCCCUCCCUGUGCCCCUCGUCCCUCUUGUGAGUUGAUGUGCCGUACACACACACAACCGUCAUUUGCUAACUGUGACUCCUCCCAUCCGCACCAGCCGCGCCAUCACCGUGCUAGUGCACCAACCCUCCUUCCUCCUCCCUUCUGUGGUGUGGCCGUCCACAACUCCUCCUUGUGCCAUGUGCGACCGUCGUGACACCCGCAGUGAGGAGAGUGCAACCGAGCAAGCGCAAAACGCAAAGCAAGAAAGGCAGACGCGCGCCCACGCGCUGGAAUGCGUGGCUAUACGGCCAUUCGCACACAUCGAUACGAAGAACACAGAUGGUAUCGCCGCCCCCCUGCCAACACGGGUAUGAGUCGUUGACUCAUCGGAACCCCCUAAAGCUUCCUCCCUUUCCUCUCAUUCGUUCGUCGGCAUCAUCGCAGUGCCAUCCAGCGCGCGCGCGAGGUCGUUGGAAGAAACUCAGACUCCCUCCCUUGUAUUUCAUGUCCCUUCUGCUCUUGGCGUUUUUUCGGUGCUCUGACCCUGCCAAGGUUCAUGGAAUUGGUGCGCGGCCGCAGCACUGACCCCCCUCCUGCAUUUUAGUCGUUGGCUCUCUCUCUCAUUUGUUUUUUUUUUUUGCCCGAACGCGCGUGUGUGUGUGUGUGUGUUCCUUGCGGCUCUGCCUGUAUUCCGGCGAAG